ACCAACCAUCCUUCAGUCCCUUUGCCACUACAGAAUCCCAGAGAAGUAGUACUGGAAAGAAGGAUGGGCCAUGGAAUCUAUUUGGACAACACAUCCUGAAGAAACACAGUUACUGUAAGCAGCAUCAAAGUAUACCUUCCAGGCUUCAUCUCCUUUCACUUCAGGGAUUUUUACACUACCAUUAGAUUUAACUUCAGUCAAAUAAUGGAAUAGGUUCUAAAGGUAUCGCCAUCUUCACCAACGGCCUCAAAGGCAUCCAUGCCUGAGGGGAAACACCAAGUUCGUGCAUAGGCGUGAUUCCUCAACUGGCGCUGAAUCAUACUGAAGAAAACAUCUGGAGAACUUGCCUGAAGCCAUCUAUAUUAGU